GGGGUUGUGGCUCAGUGGCAGAGCACUUGCCUCACAUGUGAGGCACUGGGUUUGAUCCUCAGCACCACA
rnacentral:tRNA from 1 species